rnacentral:rRNA from 1 species
UACGAAGGGGGCUAGCGUUGUUCGGAAUUACUGGGCGUAAAGCGUAUGUAGGCGGAUCGUUAAGUCGGGGGUGAAAUCCCGAGGCUCAACCUCGUAACUGCCUUCGAUACUGGCGAUCUUCGAGUCCGGGAGAGGUGAGUGGAACUCCGAGUGUAGAGGUGAAAUUCGUAGAUAUUCGGAAGAACACCAGUGGCGAAGGCGGCUCACUGGCCCGGUACUGACGCUGAAAUACGAAAGCGUGGGGAGCAAACAGC